UGGCGGCACUAGCGCGGUGGUCCCACCUGACCCCAUGCCGAACUCAGAAGUGAAACGCCGUAGCGCCGAUGGUAGUGUGGGGUCUCCCCAUGUGAGAGUAGGGAACCGCCA
rnacentral:rRNA from 1 species